rnacentral:rRNA from 1 species
AUUGAACGCUGGCGGCAUGCUUUACACAUGCAAGUCGAACGGCAGCGCGGGCUUCGGCCUGGCGGCGAGUGGCGAACGGGUGAGUAAUACAUCGGAACGUGCCCAGUAGUGGGGGAUAGCUCGGCGAAAGCCGGAUUAAUACCGCAUACGACCUGAGGGUGAAAGCGGGGGAUCUUCGGACCUCGCGCUAUUGGAGCGGCCGAUGGCAGAUUAGCUAGUUGGUGGGGUAAAGGCCUACCAAGGCGGCUAUCUGUAGCUGGUCUGAGAGGACGACCAGCCACACUGGGACUGGGACACGGCCCAGACUCCUACGGGACGCAGCAGUGGGGAAUUUUGGACAAUGGGCGAGAGCCUGAUCCAGCAGUGCCGCGUGUGUGGUAGAGGCCUUGGGGUUGUGAAGCACUUUUGGCGGGAAUGAAAAGGACUGUGCCAAUACCACGGUUCGAUGACGGUACCCGCAGAAUAAGCACCGGCUAACUACGUG